rnacentral:rRNA from 1 species
AUCAUUACCGGGCGCGGCCCCUUCGGGGUGCCAACCUCCCACCCGUGACUACCGUACCACGUUGCUUCGGCGGGCCCGCCCCCCUGUUCGGGGGGGCCGUCGGGGGGCACCUGCCCCCGGGCGUGCGCCCGCCGGGGACCCCAACACGAACACUGUCUGAAGGACUGCUGUCUGAGUAGGAUUUAUAAUCAGUCAAAACUUUCAACAACGGAUCUCUUGGUUCCGGCAUCGAUGAAGAACGCAGCGAACUGCGAUAAGUAGUGUGAAUUGCAGAAUUCAGUGAAUCAUCGAGUCUUUGAACGCACAUUGCGCCCCCUGGCAUUCCGGGGGGCAUGCCUGUCCGAGCGUCAUUGCUACCCUCAAGCCCGGCUUGUGUGUUGGGCCGCCGUCCGCCCCGCCCCGCGGGGGGGACGCGCCCGAAAGGCAGCGCCGGCACCGCGUCCGGUCCUCGAGCGUAUGGGGCUUUGUCACCCGCUCCGUGGGACCGGCCGGCGCCAGGCUUCGUCAACCCCUUCUUUUCUAGGUUGACCUCGGAUCAGGUAGGGAUACCCGCUGAACUUAAGCAUAUCAAUAAGCGGAGGA